rnacentral:misc_RNA from 1 species
GAUGAAGAACGCAGCAAAAUGCGAUAAGUAAUGUGAAUUGCAGAAUUCAGUGAAUCAUCGAAUCUUUGAACGCACAUUGCGCCCUUUGGUAUUCCAAAGGGCAUGCCUGUUCGAGCGUCAUUUGUACCCUCAAGCUUUGCUUGGUGUUGGGCGUCUUGUCUCUAGCUUUGCUGGAGACUCGCCUUAAAGUAAUUGGCAGCCGGCCUACUGGUUUCGGAGCGCAGCACAAGUCGCACUCUCUAUCAGCAAAGGUCUAGCAUCCAUUAAGCCUUUUUUUCAACUUUAGACCUCGGAUCAGGUAGGGAUACCCGCUGAACUUAAGCAUAUCAAUAAGCGGAGGA